rnacentral:rRNA from 1 species
CCUACGGGAGACAGCAGUGGGGAAUAUUGCACAAUGGGGGAAACCCUGAUGCAGCGACGCCGCGUGAGUGAAGAAGUAAUUCGUUAUGUAAAGCUCUAUCAGCAGGGAAGAAAAUGACGGUACCUGAGUAAGAAGCCCCGGGUAACUACGUGCCAGCAGCCGCGGUAUUACGUAGGGGGCAAGCGUUAUCCGGAUUUACUGGGGGUAAAGGGAGCGUAGACGGCAGUGCAAGUCUGGAGUGAAAGGCGGGGGCUCAACCCCCGGACUGCUCUGGAAACUGUACGGCUGGAGUGCAGGAGAGGUAAGUGGAAUUCGUAGUGUAGCGGUGAAAUGCGUAGAUAUUAGGAGGAACACCAGUGGCGAAGGCGGCUUACUGGACUGUAACUGACGUUGAGGCUCGAAAGCGUGGGGAGCGAACAGGAUUAGAUACCCCAGUAGUC